AUACUUACCUGGCAGGGGAGAUACCAUGAACACAAAGGUACUUUUCCCAGGGCGAGGCUCAUCCAUUUCACUCCAGGUGUACUGGUCCCUGCGAUUUCCCCAAAUGUGAGAAACUCGGCUGCAUAAUUUGUGGCAGUGGGGGACUGCGUCCGGCCUUUCCCCUG
ensembl:snRNA U1 U1 spliceosomal RNA